GGAUCAGCUGAACUGGCGGACUGAACCCCAAUUACCAGCAGAAGCAAGUCAACGGACGACGAGGAGCUAUUAUAGAAUUGAAUGAUGGCAAGCGUGAGGACAUACUGUGAAGUGAGCUCCUUCCGCAGCCUCCAGCCCUCUCAAGCUGACGUGAAGGGCUCCACUCGCGCAAAUUGGUGUCCGUGCAGCCACUUGAGCUUGGAAAAUAUUACAGAUCAGUCUCACAGCGCCUUCUCUGUCCUAGCUUGCCUCAGAACGCCAUUCUACGUACUGAACGAACAUCCUGUGAGCCAGGAGGAGCUUACUGACUUGGAGUGGACUCGGCGCGCUCCAGACUUGGAACCCGGAAGCUUUCUCAGGAAGGAGGAUGGCUCAGGCGUCAUAGACCCACGCGGAGUGGCUCUGGCAUUUGUGAAGGAAGGGUGAGCUCACCCACCUGAACCACAACUACCACGUUCAGGCUCUGCUGUCAUGCAGGUCUAACCAGCAUGCAUGGACAGGCGGGACAAGGUUAUUGCUAUUAUCCGGCUCUUUCUCUGCAGAUGUAGGCAUGGCACAUGUGCAACAUGCUGUGGGAUAGCUUAAUGCUGAUAAUGCAAGCUUAAGCAUGCCAAAUCUGGCUACGCAGGUAUUUUGCUCAAUGUGAUGCGAUUGGCUUGCCACGGGAAGAACCUCACUGGACAUCUUUGGCAUUGAGGAGAUCACAGUCUUUGCAAUUCACAAAUCUGAAGAGGUUCAGCCGAUUAGGGGCACCCACAGCUCAAAAGCUCG
rnacentral:lncRNA from 1 species